GACGAACGCUGGCGGCGUGCUUAACACAUGCAAGUCGAACGGAAAGGCCCUGCUUGCAGGGUGCUCGAGUGGCGAACGGGUGAGUAACACGUGGGUGAUCUGCCCCUUACAUUGGGAUAAGCCUGGGAAACUGGGUCUAAUACUGGAUAGGACCAUGCUGUAGGUGGUGUGGUGGAAAGAUUAGUUUCGGUAAGGGAUGAGCUCGCGGCCUAUCAGCUUGUUGGUGGGGUAAUGGCCUACCAAGGCGUCGACGGGUAGCCGGCCUGAGAGGGUGGACGGCCACAUUGGGACUGAGAUACGGCCCAGACUCCUACGGGAGGCAGCAGUGGGGAAUAUUGCACAAUGGGCGCAAGCCUGAUGCAGCGACGCCGCGUGGGGGAUGACGGCCUUCGGGUUGUAAACUCCUUUCAGCCAUGACGAAGCCCUUGUGGUGACGGUAGUGGUAGAAGAAGCACCGGCUAACUACGUG
rnacentral:rRNA from 1 species